CAAGUCGAGCGGCAGCGACAACAUUGAACCUUUUGGGGAUUUGUUGGGCGGCGAGCGGCGGACGGGUGAGUAAUGCCUAGGAAAUUGCCCUGAUGUGGGGGAUAACCAUUGGAAACGAUGGCUAAUACCGCAUGAUGCCUACGGGCCAAAGAGGGGGACCUUCGGGCCUCUCGCGUCAGGAUAUGCCUAGGUGGGAUUAGCUAGUUGGUGAGGUAAGGGCUCACCAAGGCGACGAUCCCUAGCUGGUCUGAGAGGAUGAUCAGCCACACUGGAACUGAGACACGGUCCAGACUCCUACGGGAGGCAGCAGUGGGGAAUAUUGCACAAUGGGCGCAAGCCUGAUGCAGCCAUGCCGCGUGUAUGAAGAAGGCCUUCGGGUUGUAAAGUACUUUCAGUCGUGAGGAAGGCAUUAACGUUAAUAGCGUUAGUGUUUGACGUUAGCGACAGAAGAAGCACCGGCUAACUCCGUGCCAGCAGCCGCGGUAAUACGGAGGGUGCGAGCGUUAAUCGGAAUUACUGGGCGUAAAGCGCAUGCAGGUGGUUAGUUAAGUCAGAUGUGAAAGCCCGGGGCUCAACCCUCGGAAUUGCAUUUGAAACUGGCUGACUAGAGUACCUGUAGAGGGGGGGUAGAAUUUUCAGGUGUAGCCGGUGAAAUGCGUAGAGAUUU
rnacentral:rRNA from 1 species